GCCACCCCUCUCACUUUGCUAGUAAGACGUGUGGUGUCUCUACUGGCCAUUCAAAUGGGGUAAAAAAACAUGCCCUUCUAAAAACCCAAGCAUAUUUAUAUUUGACUUGGUUCCUGUCCGAGGGGACAUUU